GUUUUUUUUUUUUUUUUUUUUUUUUUUUUUUUUUUUUUUUUUUCCUU
rnacentral:ribozyme from 1 species